UAUAUACUUCCUCCGUUCGGAAUUACUUGUCUCGGAAAUGGAUGUAUCUAGAACUAAAAUACAUCUAGAUACAUCCAUUUUCGCGACAAGUAAUUCCGAACGGAGGGAGUAGAUG
rnacentral:pre_miRNA from 1 species